CACUUCACACGAUACUUUGCCCCCCACCAAAAUAAACUUUAGCCAUAAUACCCAUUCCCUUCCACUCACCAUUUCUCCUACAUACCAAGGAACUAAGUGCAGAGCUACACCCACAGAAGUUCAGCUAUACCACACGGACAUCCCUAUCACUUCACUCAUUCUGAAAAUUUUCAUUUGCUCACCAAGAUCAUUUCGACAGAAUCCAGCACACAACAAACAAACAGGAUCAACACUCACUGAAAUUUCUCACAAGGCUUUGAGCAUCAGGAGGAUUAGCACUGCUAUUCCGAUUCAGAGAUAACGUUAAACGACAGGCAUUGCCUAUACAGGUUAAUGGCUGGUGAUGACGGGGCAGAGCUGAGGCUAGGGUUCAACUCCGUAUUUUGUCUUCCGCUAUUGCACUAGCUUUUAUUUGUCUUUUGUUUCUCCAACUUAAGACUUUUAUGUUAAAUUCUGAAUUAUGUUUUUAUUGAGCUUAAACUCUCAACUUCUAGCUCUAUGUUAUUUAACGUUGGUUAUCGGAAGCAUGAAACCGAACUUGUGAUCCUAAGGCUUAGAAUGUUGUUGAUUGAUUAGUAUCACUUGAUUUC